AGCCCCGUACACAAAAAUGCACAUACUGUGAGCUCGAUGAGUAGGGCGGGACACGUGGUAUCCUGUCUGAAUAUGGGGGGACCAUCCUCCAAGGCUAAAUACUCCUGACUGACCGAUAGUGAACCAGUACCGUGAGGGAAAGGCGAAAAGAACCCCGGCGAGGGGAGUGAAAAAGAACCUGAAACCGUGUACGUACAAGCAGUGGGAGCACGCUUAGGCGUGUGACUGCGUACCUUUUGUAUAAUGGGUCAGCGACUUAUAUUCUGUAGCAAGGUUAACCGAAUAGGGGAGCCGAAGGGAAACCGAGUCUUAACUGGGCGUUAAGUUGCAGGGUAUAGACCCGAAACCCGGUGAUCUAGCCAUGGGCAGGUUGAAGGUUGGGUAACACUAACUGGAGGACCGAACCGACUAAUGUUGAAAAAUUAGCGGAUGACUUGUGGCUGGGGGUGAAAGGCCAAUCAAACCGGGAGAUAGCUGGUUCUCCCCGAAAGCUAUUUAGGUAGCGCCUCGUGAAUUCAUCUCCGGGGGUAGAGCACUGUUUCGGCAAGGGGGUCAUCCCGACUUACCAACCCGAUGCAAACUGCGAAUACCGGAGAAUGUUAUCACGGGAGACACACGGCGGGUGCUAACGUCCGUCGUGAAGAGGGAAACAACCCAGACCGCCAGCUAAGGUCCCAAAGUCAUGGUUAAGUGGGAAACGAUGUGGGAAGGCCCAGACAGCCAGGAUGUUGGCUUAGAAGCAGCCAUCAUUUAAAGAAAGCGUAAUAGCUCACUGGUCGAGUCGGCCUGCGCGGAAGAUGUAACGGGGCUAAACCAUGCACCGAAGCUGCGGCAGCGACGCUGAUGCGUUGUUGGGUAGGGGAGCGUUCUGUAAGCCUGUGAAGGUGUGCUGUGAGGCAUGCUGGAGGUAUCAGAAGUGCGAAUGCUGACAUAAGUAACGAUAAAGCGGGUGAAAAGCCCGCUCGCCGGAAGACCAAGGGUUCCUGUCCAACGUUAAUCGGGGCAGGGUGAGUCGACCCCUAAGGCGAGGCCGAAAGGCGUAGUCGAUGGGAAACAGGUUAAUAUUCCUGUACUUGGUGUUACUGCGAAGGGGGGACGGAGAAGGCUAUGUUGGCCGGGCGACGGUUGUCCCGGUUUAAGCGUGUAGGCUGGUUUUCCAGGCAAAUCCGGAAAAUCAAGGCUGAGGCGUGAUGACGAGGCACUACGGUGCUGAAGCAACAAAUGCCCUGCUUCCAGGAAAAGCCUCUAAGCAUCAGGUAACAUCAAAUCGUACCCCAAACCGACACAGGUGGUCAGGUAGAGAAUACCAAGGCGCUUGAGAGAACUCGGGUGAAGGAACUAGGCAAAAUGGUGCCGUAACUUCGGGAGAAGGCACGCUGAUAUGUAGGUGAAGUCCCUCGCGGAUGGAGCUGAAAUCAGUCGAAGAUACCAGCUGGCUGCAACUGUUUAUUAAAAACACAGCACUGUGCAAACACGAAAGUGGACGUAUACGGUGUGACGCCUGCCCGGUGCCGGAAGGUUAAUUGAUGGGGUCAGCGCAAGCGAAGCUCUUGAUCGAAGCCCCGGUAAACGGCGGCCGUAACUAUAACGGUCCUAAGGUAGCGAAAUUCCUUGUCGGGUAAGUUCCGACCUGCACGAAUGGCGUAAUGAUGGCCAGGCUGUCUCCACCCGAGACUCAGUGAAAUUGAACUCGCUGUGAAGAUGCAGUGUACCCGCGGCAAGACGGAAAGACCCCGUGAACCUUUACUAUAGCUUGACACUGAACAUUGAGCCUUGAUGUGUAGGAUAGGUGGGAGGCUUUGAAGUGUGGACGCCAGUCUGCAUGGAGCCGGCCUUGAAAUACCACCCUUUAAUGUUUGAUGUUCUAACGUUGACCCGUGAUCCGGGUUGCGGACAGUGUCUGGUGGGUAGUUUGACUGGGGCGGUCUCCUCCUAAAGAGUAACGGAGGAGCACGAAGGUUGGCUAAUCCUGGUCGGACAUCAGGAGGUUAGUGCAAUGGCAUAAGCCAGCUUGACUGCGAGCGUGACGGCGCGAGCAGGUGCGAAAGCAGGUCAUAGUGAUCCGGUGGUUCUGAAUGGAAGGGCCAUCGCUCAACGGAUAAAAGGUACUCCGGGGAUAACAGGCUGAUACCGCCCAAGAGUUCAUAUCGACGGCGGUGUUUGGCACCUCGAUGUCGGCUCAUCACAUCCUGGGGCUGAAGUAGGUCCCAAGGGUAUGGCUGUUCGCCAUUUAAAGUGGUACGCGAGCUGGGUUUAGAACGUCGUGAGACAGUUCGGUCCCUAUCUGCCGUGGGCGCUGGAGAACUGAGGGGGGCUGCUCCUAGUACGAGAGGACCGGAGUGGACGCAUCAC
rnacentral:rRNA from 1 species